AUAACCUAUACAGAGAGUAUUGUGGUUACCUUCUCGCAUUUUUUGCUCCAGUUCCUCCAACGUUGGCUCGAUCAAUUCCCAACCGUCCGGUGGAGGUUUCUUGCUUCUUCGUACUUUUGGCAUCUUGCAACUUUGAUCCAAACGUUUCUUUGCAAAGGAAACAACUAUGUACGUAUCUUAACAACCGAGACCGAGAGCUAUCGCCGUCACUUUCGUUUUCAUCGUCGGUAUUUGUUGUAAAUCCGCGAUGCGAUGGACGCCUACGCGUAUAGUAGAUACUAGCUGGAUUCUCCUUGGUCACGUAUCCCAAAUAUAUAUAUAUAUAUAUGUACGUGCAUACGAUUCAUCCGCAUCCAUUUAUUUUUGAUCGUUUCGCCACCGCUGCUUCGAUCGGCGCUGUACGGACAUCGUACGGAGCUUCGUUCUUUCUACUAAAGAGGCGCCACAAUUGUACGCAUGCGCAGAAUGCAGGCUCGCCUAGUAAAAUUAAUUAUGGUAAAAUUAGGACACGAAAAAGUAAACCAAGGGUGCGGAACUGUUCAGGAGAAUGUCCUGUAUCGGUAAGAAAACCAAACGACAACAACACAAAAUAUAAUUAGUUAACAUAAUAGUUCACCAAAAUUCAAAGAGCAAUUAAUUACGUUCCUCGAUGUUGCUAUUCGCGAUGUUCUUAAAUGUCGUUUAUUUACGUCGCAAGCUGUAAUAGAGUCUAAGACGUUGGACAAUUCUACCAUUUCUACCAGAGACAGAGCGUACUUGUCGUCGAGGUUGCUCAAAAUGGUGGAUCGGUGAACGUUCGAACUGAUCGUGCAUCCGACCGCAAUCCUUCGAUAGCUUUUGGACUUUUGGAUCGUGCAGAAAUCUGAUUUCGAAAUAUCGUUCGCUUCAACUUCCUUUCGCUCUAUGAAUACAAAAUUCAAACUUCUGCCGUAGAUUGCUGCGAAAAGACAAUGAGCGAGCCAAGUUCGAGGUCUAGGUUGCGAGGUCGAGAAUGAGGUCACAAAUGGAAAAAGUUGAUCAGUUUGAAUCGGUGCUGUCCGCAAUCGGUUGCAACGAGCACGUCGUAAUACAGCUGGUACUCCCUUCAUCCACGAUUCUUUCGGUUCGAACGUCUCCGAGUCGACGCAAAGGAAUUCACCUUGCGUGUCAUCGUUUGGCUCGUCCAUCGCAGAAAUCCUCGUCUCUCCUGUCGCCCCUGUCGACGCGCAAUGACUGAAACGAGGGAACACGAUAGAAAAUAGAAUAGAAUAGAAUAGAAUGGAUUGGAGGAAAAGAAAAGAGAAGAGGAAAAAACGCAGCGUAACAAACCUUUUUGAUCAACGGAUAAAAUAGACACGGGAGCAUCCGAAUCUCUCGUUUGCGAGGCUGACCGUGGCAACUUCUGCAAAUGUUCCAUCCGGAAUGGACAGAAAAGGACGACUAUCGAACAGAGGAGAAAGAAAAGGUGGACAAAUGGUAACAGGAGAAACUCGCUGUAACAGAGAACGACGGAAUACAGGAAUCGAUGACUAAAGUUAAAAAAAAAAGAAUCAAAUUCUCUUAAUUCGAUAAGAUAUUAUAGGUAACGUAAUAAUUAUUAAAAAUAAUUAGCGAUUGCCAAUACAUACGGUUGGUCGA